GUAUUAUGAACUCAGGAGCAUGACCGGCGAAGCGGAGCUGCUCUGUUUACCUUGUUACAGUCAUGCCACAGUCCAUAAAGAGUGUUUGCUGUUGACACCUCAAAGCUCUAAAACACAGAGUGAAGUCACUUUGCCUGAAGGAAAUCUCAAAGAACCCAAAGAGAAGAAUGGAGCAAAAACUGCAGACAAUAUGGGAGAUUGCUCAAGGUCAGAGUAUUGAGAUGCUCGACUACGACUCAGUCCAGGACUUGUCUCUGCUGCUCGACUCUGCUGGCAACGUCGACAUUUUGAGGAGGCUGGGGCGAUCCUUGGGGGUACCACCUCAGGUUAUUGCCCAUCUCCAAGGCUUCCAGGAGCUUUUCCAGUACCUGCGCACCUCCACCUACACGCUGCUGCCCCAGCUGGCCCAGGCUGCAGCGCUCCUGCCUAAUCAUGAAGUCGUUGCUCGGAUACACAGAGCAGUGGUGAACAAGUGACCACUUAGACCCCAGCCGGGUGUUGCCAUGGCUUCAACUGUUAUACAGUAUUUCUGACCCACGUUGUAUUGUGACACCUUCACCUGAUCAAUGAACGAACCUAAUACUUGCUGGUGGGACCCAGAGACAUUGUUUUUACAGGAGUAA
ensembl:lncRNA